rnacentral:lncRNA from 1 species
GUGAGUCGCUUUGUGGACAACGACUCCCAUCGUUAGGUCCGGAGAGACAUAUAUAAACCUGUCAGUAUAGCCAUAAUCUUUGAUAAUAAAAGUAAAUGAACAAAGAAGUAGACCAGACCCAGCUGCUAUUGCAUUUGGUGUCUAUAAGAGACAUCUCGUUAAGUAGACCGGAACUGACCUUUUUUUGUUGUUGUUGUAAACGGCGAGUGAACCAUCUUAAUUUAUCCACCAUCUUUGGUGUGUUCAGGAGGAAGUGGAACAUGUAAACACACAACAAUGUCAGCCGUAGACCUAGUGCUCUGCAGCCAGACCUUACUUCUGCACAGUUAUCAAGCUAUAUCAGACCCAUAUCCAUCCAUACAGAACACUUGUCGGCUCUGCGGUCAAAAUCUGCUCAUCAAGGGGACAUUACAGGCAACACGAAGAAUAUUUGACAAGCCUAAAGCCUCAAAGGAAAAAGGUUAUGUGAUAGAUUCCUUGCCACCGGUUUAGUGCUAACUGAAGCACCAGGGGUGAAAUCGGGCAGAAUUUGUGCAAAGUGUUAUAGACUAUUUCUCAGGAUAGAGGAAUCUGUAAGCGUUUUAAAGAAAUGGCAAUCGGAGCAUCAGACACCGGGGACGAGCAAGAAGAGGAAGCGUGAACGGGAACCGAGUCCAUCUGAAACAGACAAGGGAACCAAGAAGACAUCUGAACGGGAACCGAGUCCAUCUGGAACAGACAAGGGAGCCAAGAAGACAUCUGAACGGGAACCGAGUCCAUCUGAAACAGACCGGGCUGCCAAGAAGACAUGUCCUCCCUAUAAAAAGGUUCCCCCGAGGAGCAGUCUUGUCGAGGUUGUCAUAACAUACCCUAACCAAUUGGAUCCAAAGCUGAAAAAGAGGGUUGAGAAGGUUUCAUCCGAAUUUUCCGGAAUGGUUGAAAACUUGGCAAAAGGCAAAUUGACGACAUUUGUCAGGUUAGCCUUGACGAAUGAAACCAUGUGUCAAGAAAUCAGAAAGCAGAUGACACAGAAAAUAGAAGCAGAGGUCAAGGCAUAUGCAAGACCCUUAAAUUACCUGACUUGUGCUGAACCUUGCAUCUUGAGUAGUACCUCGUUGGAGAAUAUGAAGUGUUUUUCAUACAAAGCGUUGGAUGAUGAGUUGUCCAAGAAGACACCAUGGCUUUAUACCACCAUCAAUACUGCAACAGGUGGAUCCACCAUCCAUAACUGUGUAGCCGCCUCUGUGGCCCUGAGAGGUAGAAACCCCAGGCUUUCUGCACUGGCCUAUGUCAUCAACUCCACACUGACCCAAGGAGGGGUUAAGCCCAUUUUCAAAAGACUCUCUAAGAUGGGCAUAACAACCACACACAGCAAUGUCCUAAAUAAGCAGAAAGAGAUGAAGGCAGCUGGGUACAACAUCAACAUCAAAUGCUGGAGGGAGGACUGUGAGCUGUUUUUCCAACAUAGUAUCAACGGUGAAGUCUGCCCACGACCACCUCCUACUGCUAAACCGACAGAGGAGACCGGAAGAGAGGAAGAAGAGGAGGAGGACAAGGGUCCAGUGGAGGAUGAGUUUGAAAUAGAGCUGGACUGGGGUCCACUGGAGGAAGAGGGUGAAGGAGAUGAGGAAGAGUGGAGUCCACUGUCAGAAGAGACAGAAAGAGAGGAGGACAGAGGAUCUACAGUGGAGGAAGAGAGAGGAGAGGAGAAAGCCCGGGGUUCCCUGCUAGGAGAGACAGAAAGAGAGGAAGAGGGACAAACAUUAUCAGCACUAGAAGGAAAUGACAGACAGGAAGAGGAUUCUGAUUCAACAGUGGAUUCAGAGACUGAAUACUUUGGAUUAAACCUCACCUGUGAGAGUGAUUAGAGAAGUAGCCUAACAAAGAGUCUGUAGAUUACAGAUCUAGACCUGGGCUACAUCUCUGAACAACAAGGCCCUAAUCAUAGAAUACAUCCCAAAUGGCACCCUAUUCCCUUUAUAGUGCACUACUUUUGACCAGGGCCAUUUGGGACAGAAUCAUACAGUGAAAUUACUCAUGUUGAGGGGGGUCAGGAUGUGAGGUCUACUGUUCCUGGUGUAUUGAGGGGUCAGGAUGUGAGGUCUACUGUUCCUGGUGUAUUGAGGGGGUCAGGAUGUGAGGUCUACUGUUCCUGGUGUAUUGAGGGGUCAGGAUGUGAGGUCUACUGUUCCUGGUGUAUUGAGGGGUCAGGAUGUGAGGUCUACUGUUCCUGGUGUAUUGAGGGGUCAGGAUGUGAGGUCUACUGUUCCUGGUGUAUUGAGGGGUCAGGAUGUGAGGUCUACUGUUCCUGGUGUGUUGAGGGGGUCAGGAUGUGAGGUCUACUGUUCCUGGUGUAUUGAGGGGUCAGGAUGUGAGGUCUACUGUUCCUGGUGUGUUGAGGGGUCAGGAUGUGAGGUCUACUGUUCCUGGUGUGUUGAGGGGGUCAGGAUGUGAGGUCUACUGUUCCUGGUGUAUUGAGGGGUCAGGAUGUGAGGUCUACUGUUCCUGGUGUGUUGAGGGGGUCAGGAUGUGAGGUCUACUGUUCCUGGUGUGUUGAGGGGUCAGGAUGUGAGGUCUACUGUUCCUGGUGUAUUGAGGGGUCAGGAUGUGAGGUCUACUGUUCCUGGUGUGUUGAGGGGGUCAGGAUGUGAGGUCUACUGUUCCUGGUGUGUUGAGGGGUCAGGAUGUGAGGUCUACUGUUCCUGGUGUGUUGAGGGGGUCAGGAUGUGAGGUCUACUGUUCCUGGUGUGUUGAGGGGGUCAGGAUGUGAGGUCUACUGUUCCUGGUGUAUUGAGGGGUCAGGAUGUGAGGUCUACUGUUCCUGGUGUGUUGAGGGGUCAGGAUGUGAGGUCUACUGUUCCUGGUGUGUUGAGGGGGUCAGGAUGUGAGGUCUACUGUUCCUGGUGUGUUGAGGGGGUCAGGAUGUGAGUACAGUGUGUUGAGGGGGUCAGGAUGUGAGUACAGUGUGUUGAGGGGGUCAGGAUGUGAGUACAGUGUGUUGAGGGGGUCAGGAUGUGAGUACAGUGUGUUGAGGGGGUCAGGAUGUGAGUACAGUGUGUUGAGGGGGUCAGGAUGUGAGUACAGUGUGUGUGUUGAGGGGGUCAGGAUGUGAGUACAGUGUGUUGAGGGGUCAGGAUGUGAGUACAGUGUGUUGAGGGGUCAGGAUGUGAGUACAGUGUGUUGAGGGGUCAGGAUGUGAGUACAGUGUGUUGAGGGGGUCAGGAUGUGAGUACAGUGUGUGUUGAGGGGUCAGGAUGUGAGUACAGUGUGUGUUGAGGGGUCAGGAUGUGAGUACAGUGUGUGUUGAGGGGUCAGGAUGUGAGUACAGUGUGUUGAGGGGUCAGGAUGUGAGUACAGUGUGUUGAGGGGGUCAGGAUGUGAGUACAGUAUAUUGAGGGGUCAGGAUGUGAGUACAGUGUGUUGAGGGGUCAGGAUGUGAGUACAGUGUGUUGAGGGGUCAGGAUGUGAGUACAGUGUGUUGAGGGGGUCAGGAUGUGAGUACAGUGUGUGUUGAGGGGUCAGGAUGUGAGUACAGUGUGUUGAGGGGUCAGGAUGUGAGUACAGUGUGUAUUGAGGGGGUCAGGAUGUGAGUACAGUGUGUAUUGAGGGGUCAGGAUGUGAGUACAGUGUGUAUUGAGGGGUCAGGAUGUGAGUACAGUGUGUAUUGAGGGGGUCAGGAUGUGAGUACAGUGUGUUGAGGGGUCAGGAUGUGAGUACAGUGUGUAUUGAGGGGGUCAGGAUGUGAGUACAGUGUGUUGAGGGGUCAGGAUGUGAGUACAGUGUGUAUUGAGGGGGUCAGGAUGUGAGUACAGUGUGUAUUGAGGGGGUCAGGAUGUGAGUACAGUGUGUUGAGGGGUCAGGAUGUGAGUACAGUGUGUUGAGGGGGUCAGGAUGUGAGUACAGUGUGUUGAGGGGGUCAGGAUGUGAGUACAGUGUGUUGAGGGGGUCAGGAUGUGAGUACAGUGUGUUGAGGGGUCAGGAUGUGAGUACAGUGUGUAUUGAGGGGUCAGGAUGUGAGUACAGUGUGUUGAGGGGGUCAGGAUGUGAGUACAGUGUGUUGAGGGGGUCAGGAUGUGAGUACAGUGUGUUUACAACGGUAUUAAAGAGACCAGCUCCAUUUAGAUGUUCAAUUCAAACUUUAUUUUUUGUUAUUUGGUACUUCCCCAAAUGGCACCCUAUUCCCUAUAUAGGAUUCUGGUCAGAAGGAAUGCACUGAAUGAAUAGGGUGUCAUUUGUGACGAAACCCUUGAAUAGAAAAAUGAAUAAAAAAUAAACCUAUAUCCAGUAUUCCAUAGAGGGGUCUGUUCAUGUCUGGGUUAUUGUUCAGGAAACAGAGGUCUUACCUGAACCUGUCCAAUAAGAACACAGGUUUUUGUUUUGCUACAUCGUGUUCUACUGAAUAGGACCCUGUUACCACGACACUAUCAAUGAUGUCACGGUCACAUGUUUGGCCUGUAGCCCUCAGGGACAGGUCUGUGUUCUUGUGGCUGGGACAGAUGGCGUCUCCAGGUUAGGGUAUGGUAAGGUGCCUGGGAACCACAAACAUCCACUUUGUUAUGUCCAUGUUGUUAUAAUUAUAUUUAAUUUGGGAUUUGUUCUCAAUUAAUUAUCUGGGUAAAUAAAGGUUAGACGAACACAAGAUUUGACCUGUCUUUAUCAUGAUGGACACCAGGCAGCCACCCAUACAGCCUUGUAAAUGAUGAUGGCAGACAUUUUGUUUUCCAAAACUCACCAAAUGUCUGCAUCUCCCACAGCACGAUGCCAAAUGCCCACACGUCCCCCUUGAAGCUGUAAUAGUUGGUUUUCUGACCGGCCAGGUCACAGUGCACCCACCACCUGUAAGUACAGGUCAGAGAUCAGGACUAAUAAAUGUUCUGUAGCUGUGUGUAUGGGUUACUGUCUGUAAGAAAUGAUCGUAGGUCACAGUGCACCACCUGGAACACAGACCCCAGAUCAUUUACUGUCUGUCUAAUGUCAGGUCCCAAACCAGUAAUGCAGGUGGCAGUUGGUGUCAUAAGGAAUGAGUGGGAGGAGGAGGAAACUGGCUUCCAUUUUGGAUCGGAGGUGUUCCAUGGCCAGUGUGAUGUGAUAAGAGGUGAUGGUGAGCAGGCUCUGUAGCUCAGGGUCAGGGGUCAUCUCGUCUCUGUGGGUCUGAAGGAAGCGCCAACACACAGGACUCUGGGAGAACUACACACAGGACUCUGGGAGAUCGACACACAGGACUCUGGGAGAACGACACACAGGGCUCUGGGAGAUCGACACACAGGACUCUGGGAGAACGACACACAGGACUCUGGGAGAACGACACACAGGACUCUGGGAGAUCGACACACAGGACUCUGGGAGAUCAACACACAGGACUCUGGGAGAUCAACACACAGGACUCUGGGAGAUCACCACAUAACACAGAAUUCAUGAUGUUGUAGUAAAUAUGUUAUAGAUGUGCCACUCGUUUCUAUUCCUUAUGGAGACUAAUAUAAAUAAUAACGACUCCCAAAGUGGUAGAUUAUCACACAGUAUUUUUUUCUUAUUUUGGUCAUGGGAGGAUGGUCAGUUUCU